GCCUAACACAUGCAAGUCGAGCGCACCCUUCGGGGCGAGCGGCGGACGGGUUAGUAACGCGUGGGAACAUACCCUUUACUACGGAAUAGCCUCGGGAAACUGAGAGUAAUACCGUAUGUGCCCUUCGGGGGAAAGAUUUAUCGGUAAAGGAUUGGCCCGCGUUAGAUUAGAUAGUUGGUGGGGUAAUGGCCUACCAAGUCUACGAUCUAUAGCUGGUUUUAGAGGAUGAUCAGCAACACUGGGACUGAGACACGGCCCAGACUCCUACGGGAGGCAGCAGUGGGGAAUCUUAGACAAUGGGCGCAAGCCUGAUCUAGCCAUGCCGCGUGUGUGAUGAAGGCCUUAGGGUCGUAAAGCACUUUCGCCAGGGAUGAUAAUGACAGUACCUGGUAAAGAAACCCCGGCUAACUCCGUGCCAGCAGCCGCGGUAAUACGGAGGGGGUUAGCGUUGUUCGGAAUUACUGGGCGUAAAGCGUACGUAGGCGGAUCAGAAAGUAAGGGGUGAAAUCCCAGGGCUCAACCCUGGAACUGCCUCUUAAACUCCUGGUCUUGAGUUCGAGAGAGGUGAGUGGAAUUCCGAGUGUAGAGGUGAAAUUCGUAGAUAUUCGGAGGAACACCAGUGGCGAAGGCGGCUCACUGGCUCGAUACUGACGCUGAGGUACGAAAGUGUGGGGAGCAAACAGGAUUAGAUACCCUGGUAGUCCACACCGUAAACGAUGACUGCCAGUCGUCGGGCAGUAUACUGUUCGGUGACACACCUAACGGAUUAAGC
rnacentral:rRNA from 1 species